GCAAUCGCCGGCGACGGGCUCCGGCACUUCGCUCUGUGAAGUGCCAGUAGCCGCGGGAAUGUCAGUGUGGUGACUCCUUACCCUGGGGAAGUGUACUUAGGCCACGGCUAGGUGAAACCCAGGGAUAUUUCUGUUCGCCCAUGCAUCCGAGAAAGGAGUGUUAGACCUGACCCUGUUGUUUCUCCCAGCAGUGAGAACGUGGCCAUGGACAAGUAGUGGCACUUCUGUAGACGACGCGGCCCUUUUGGGGUUACUACAGCCCAGGAAACUCACAUGCGACACGGCGCCAGCUGAAGUCCAUCUAGACCCCCGCAGACCCCAGGUCACAAGUUGAGAACCCCCUGCCGUGGACAUUCUUCUGCACCUAGUGGUGAAGCAGGUGGAGCUGCACCUUGCUCCGCCCAUUUGGAGACUGGUUCUGCACAUAUGGGUGUUCCCUGCAGCGAUCCUGCAAUCCUUCGUGACUAACAAGGACUUUCUGUGAAAACAGAUUUAUCUUUUCUUCUCUAACUUUAAGGUUUCUUGCUGUUGAGAAUAGUUAAGGGACGAGGAAUUCUUAUUGCCCCCAUUUUACAGGCAAAGAAACUAAUGCUGACCCCAACCUUACCGACCACUUGGAGGUCUCUAAAAACACAUGACCUUUGUGUUUCUCGGCUGUUAGUGGAAUCCUUUCUCUCUGCUCUUGAACUCAUCUUCAAACGCAUUCCAGGCCUUCAGAACUCUUCCGUGAGCGCAAGUCACUGAUUGCACUAGGAAGAACCACAUGAGGUUUAUUCUUCCCUCUUUCAAGAAACCUAAUGAAAUUGGGCUGAGAUUCCAAGGAACUCCUGGAAAAGAGUUAUCAGUGCCAGAAUGAAGGAUCCUAGAGGCAGAGCCCACCGUUCUACUCUAUUUAUAGUGGUGAAAGUUUGUACAUUUUGAAGAUGAUUUCCAUGGAAGACUGUACAGAGCUACAAACUAGAUGUUGGAAUGGAUUUGAGGAUCCUGCCAGAGACUGAAGAUGCUGGCUCAGAUAUAUCUCAGAAUAGAGUUUGGCUCUCCCUACUUUCAUUCAACAGCUUCAUUCAUUUAGACCUAGCAACCCAACCUCACACCCUCCACUCUCACACCGUUAGAAUGUCCCUUUGGAGCCUCAACUUUUGACCUGCGUUGCUCCAUCCCCUUUUCACAAGGGCAGGUUUAUUGUCUACUGGCAAUCUUGACUAGGGCCUUGGAAGAGGAUUGGACCUUAUUCACAGUGGUCUAGUGAUCAAAACAAGUCAUUGUUAAUACAUCAGUGUUACUACCUUGCUAUGCAUGUAACGCUGGAAAACAGCAUAGUGCAGUCCAUUUACCAAAACCAAAUCUUACUGCUAGUUGACCAACACCAUGUGGUACUGAGAAAAAUGUGUAUAGAACAACCCCUUACUGCUGUAUAAAACCAUUCCUUGCUUAAGGAUCACCUGACUUUUGAUAUCUUUA